rnacentral:miRNA from 1 species
CAUCUCCGCCCGCCGUCAUGGGUACUGGAACGGUUCUAUUUGCGGUUACACCUGCAUCUGCAUUUGUGUUUGCAUUUGCAUUUGCAUUUGCGCUUCCGGCU